CAGCCGCCACGGUAAUACGUAGGUGGCAAGCGUUGUCCGGAUUUACUGGGCGUAAAGCGAACGCAGGCGGACUGUUAAGUCUGCUGUGAAAUCCCCGGGCUCAACCUGGGAAUGGCAGUGGAUACUGGCUCGCUAGAGUGUGUCAGAGGAUGGUGGAAUUCCCGGUGUAGCGGUGAAAUGCGUAGAGAUCGGGAGGAACAUCAGUGGCGAAGGCGGCCAUCUGGGACAACACUGACGCUGAGGCACGAAAGCGUGGGGAGCAAACAGGAUUAGAUACCCGAGUAGUCCCUGUCUCUUAUAC
rnacentral:rRNA from 1 species